rnacentral:lncRNA from 1 species
CUUAAUUAAAAAUACAUUUUAAAUAAAUUUACUUGCUGCUCUACAUUGCUUACACUUGUAACAGAAGGAAGUGGAAAAAGUUGGUUGAAUAUGCAUUGCAAUCUCUUGUUUCUGAAAGAGGAACUUAAUUUACUGCGUUGUUUCUCAUUAUGUACAAAAUGUUUGAAAACCAUUGCCAAGCGCCAAGAGACCACACACUAACUUGGAAUUACUGCUUAUCAUUUUUUUUUUUUAAAGGAAUUACUGAUAAAAUCCUAGACCGUUAGUUGUCCAUUAGAAUUAAUUUGAGAAUCUUUGAUACUUUUGAAUGGAGCCUGACAAUGAUAGAACUGGUAAAUAAGGUAGUAUUUUAUUUAUUUUAUUCAACUUCAUAAUGUUCAAAUCAAGGAAAUAGGUCAAGACAUAAGUUUCUUGACUAAUUAAUAUAGAGGUUAGAGAGUAAUAUGGAGUUUAGAGCCCUAUAAAACACAAAGGACAUUUAGUAAAUACUAAAGGUGGUGAUUCUCCAUUUAAAAUGCGAAAACGGUCUCAUCGCAGGCAUACUUUAGUGUUAGAAAUACAAAUCUAUACUCCUAACACUAUAGUGCCCCCUGGUCCUCUCUCCCUGACGCAUUAAGGGUUUUAAAAAAACAAAACAAAAAAACCCUUUUAUUUACUCACCUGAUUCCGGUGCCAAUGUCCCUCGGCGCUCUGCCUCCUCCGAUGUUAUGUGAUGGGGGGACCUAAUGCCCUCUGCAUAAACAAAGUGAUUUAACUCCUAAUGGUAGAGGAUUGAGCAGUGGGACUGCAGGGGCAAGAUCUAUACACCAAAACUGCUUCAUUAAGCUAAAGUUGUUUGUGACUAUAGUGUCUCUUUAAGCUUGGUAAACUAAAAGUUUAAAUAAAUGUUCAGAAAAUUCAUUCUUCAGCAGAAAGCUGUGUCAAAGCAUAUUUUCUUCCCAACCUGAAAAUGAAAUCACAUUAGUAAUAUGGCUUUUUACAUUACUUUUACAAUACAGUUUGACUUGUAAUCUAGUGAGCAAAGUAAUGUUUUCUGCAAUAUAUUUGUGUUUUGACAGCUGGUGGUGAUGUGGCACUGCACUCUUAUUUAGCUGGCCAGCCUGUAGAAGAUUCUCAGUCGAGCAUGCUUGCAUGUUUCUUGGUUUAUCACUCUGUCCCAGCACCAAAGGAGCUGUCACAAGUUACACUGGAAGGUAAUUCACAUGUGUCUCGUGGGUAGUCUGAUGCUGUGAGUUAAGAUAUUAGUUCUUACCUCCUUUAUUAAUAAUUAGUAGUUUUUGAUUUCUCUUCCAGGAAACGUAUUUAUUACAGGGGAUUUUGUAAGUCCUUCCAGAGAAAGAGUAUUUAUUUUGCAAAAGACGUCAAUAUAGAGUGUUACAAAUAACUAGAUAAAAUAAAUUAAAAUUUAACAGAAUUAUUUUUCUCUUUCACAGGAAGGUCUGUAAAUAAAUCUAUUACCCUACUGUCUGUCUAGGCCUGACAUAAAUCUUCAUAAUUUGGAGCUCCGAUGUCCUCCUGCUUUGUGACAAAAAAAAAUGAAUAUAAAAUAUUAAAACACAUGCACAAACAUGUCUUACUGGCAUUCAAUAGCUGUGUUUCCUAUAGCUGAAGUGCCCGGGAUCUGUGUGUGUGCAUUAAAUGUUACAGUAAACAUGGCGCACACUGCUAUCCAGAACAGGAAACCAAAUCUAGAAAAAACACCUUGCAUUGUGAUAGGUAGUGGGCAGACAAGAUCACUCACUUGGAUUUUAUCUGUUAAAAUCUGUUUCUGAAAAAAUGUAUUUAUUUCUUAAUUAAUUUUUCUGUUUUCUGUUCACAGGAAGCCACUGUUUUUCUGACCUACUGUUGAAAUUCAAAACCAUGGGAUUGCCAGUGAGAGCAUUACUGAGGCUUGCACCCUUGUUACUUGGAAACCCCCAGUACUUGGUUCUUUAGCCAACUUUGAUGAGCCAAUUAGAAGUUCUAAAAGAUUUGCAUGUAUGAGGAGUUCUCUAGAAUACUGACUUUCUGUACUUCGUCUCAGUCAACGGGAUGUUCUUCGGUAUGAUUUAUAAAGUGAUACCUAUUAAUUUAAAAUAACUUUUCUUAUUCAGCCCUUUAAUUUAACGCUGGAUUAUCAGUGAGAAGAAAGUUUACAAGAAGGACUUACAAAGUGAUAUGGAGCCAUAACUAAGUACAGAGUUCGGAACUGGGAAAUCCUGAGACAGAAAAGGCCCAAGAGACAGAGCAUUCGUAGCCCACAACAUCUUCGCCUUUUGGCUAACGAAUGUUAUGAGGAGCAAUCAUUGGUGUGCUCGGCUACUUUCCCAAGAUUAUAGGAAUUUUGUGAAUUUUGACCGAUUUGGUAAAUCUAGGUUAAAUGCAGAUGAGCUUACUUUGUCUUAAGUGAUCGGAGUGUAUUUCCAUUGUUAUAGGCAAUGCAUGUCUCUAAAGAAAAUAGCACUUGUAAAUACAGUUUUGUUUAAAAAAAAUAAAUAGAAAAAUAUUUUUUAAAAGUCCAUUAUUUGCCUUUUUUUUGCUUUAAAAUGUUAUUGGUUUCAUUAUGCUUUAAUAUUGUGAUACAGAAGAAAAUUCCACCCACAGCUGUUUACAUCUAAACCAAAAAUAUUGAAAAAGUAUUGAAGGCAUCUGAAC